rnacentral:lncRNA from 1 species
AAUCGACAGGUCAGAGAACCAAUGCUGUGAUUCUACGAGUUGCUGAGUAUGUUUAUUCCAAUUAUGCCUUCUGGAACUGGGGAAAAAACCACAGCAUGGGUUCAAUGACCCAACGGACCUGAGUGAAAUUGACAUGAGCUAAAUCUUUAUUGAUCACUUGACCUCUAUAACCUCCUACUGUAACUGGUGGAUCACAGUGUUAUUUUUGGGUCUCUUGGAAUCAUUGUUAGGUCCCAGCCAGUGCCCAGUAGUUCCUGAUACGUCUGGUUAUUUUCUUUUCCACAAUUCACAGUUACCCUGAUAAAAACAUCGCAGGUCCCUUUGGGGAAGGCUGGGAAAAAUAAAAAUAUGUAAAGUUUUAGCAGUUUUCCAGGGUCCUUCCUCAAGGGGAUUCGAUCUCCCCUUCAUUCAAUGAAUUCAGCCUGGAAACUGGCUCAAGUACAGGAAUCGAUUAUGAGGCCAUAGCUCUGUUUCUAUGAUUCAAGCGAGACUUUUGGUUUCUUAACUUGGAACUACUCUGCUGACAAAGAUCAACUAAAAGUUGAGUUGGCUUCCUCUCUAUUUCACUUCUAGGAAUAUCGUGAUCAAUUAGCCAACACUUUUAAGCAAGAGUGAAAAAAAUUCUGGUUUCCUUAAGAGAUCUGCCUAGAAGUCUCCUCACAGUCUGAAUCAGAUUAACAUUUGGGUGCUGGAGGCGAAUUGGCAGGGUGAGUAUCUGAGGGCGAAAUGCUUCCUGAUGCACCCUAAAACUAACCUGACAGACACUCAGAUCUGAUGGCUGGUGAAUUACUCAUGUCAUCUUGGUGUGGGAAGGGUCCCACCAACCAUGUGCUUGGUUAAUUUUAUGUUCUUUAUAUUUAUUUUAUACAACUUCAUUCUAAA